rnacentral:rRNA from 1 species
AAGGAAUAUUGGUCAAUGGACGCAAGUCUGAACCAGCCAUGCCGCGUGAAGGAUGAAGGUCCUCUGGAUUGUAAACUUCUUUUAUCUGGGACGAAAACGGGAUUUUUAUCUCAAUUGACGGUACCAGAGGAAUAAGCACCGGCUAACUCCGUGCCAGCAGCCGCGGUAAUACGGAGGGUGCGAGCGUUAUCCGGAUUUACUGGGUUUAAAGGGUGCGUAGGUGGGCUUAUAAGUCAGUGGUGAAAUCUCCGAGCUUAACUUGGAAACUGCCGUCGAUACUAUAGGUCUUGAAUUAUCUGGAGGUAAGCGGAAUAUGUCAUGUAGCGGUGAAAUGCUUAGAUAUGACAUAGAACACCAAUUGCGAAGGCAGCUUACUACAUAUAAAUUGACGCUGAGGCACGAAAGCGUGGGGAUCAAACA